rnacentral:misc_RNA from 1 species
GAUGAAGAACGUAGCGAAAUGCGAUACUUGGUGUGAAUUGCAGAAUCCCGUGAACCAUCGAGUCUUUGAACGCAAGUUGCGCCUCAAGCCAUUAGGUUGAGGGCACGUCUGCCUGGGCGUCACAUAUCGUUGCCUGAUGCCAGUUUCCUCGUGAUGGGUGACUGUGCAGGGCGAAUGAUGGCUUCCCGUGAGCAUUGUUGCCUCAUGGUUGGUUGAAAAUUGAGUCCUUGGUAGGGAGCGCCGUGAUAGAUGGUGGUUGAGUGACGAACGAGACCCAAUCAUGUGAGACCCCUACCGAAUUUGGCCUUCAUGACCCACAUGCGUCUUUGGAACGCUCAUGACGAGACCUCAGGUCAGGCGGGGCUACCCGCUGAGUUUAGGCAUAUCAAUAAGCGGAGGA